AAUGCAUCUAAUGCAUGCAAUUCUAUUUAAUAUGUGCCCCAUCAUGUCUUUUUUUCCAAAACAUAAUCAUUGAAAUAAAUAUGAGAAUUAAAAACUAGACGCAUAAAUAUACUUUUCCUCUAAAUUUUGAGACUUUUUGAGAUCUGUCCAGUUAUGAAAAAUAAAACAGCGGAAUAUGAAACGUGUCUUGGUCAAGGAUUUUGUAGGUAAAAUAAGCCUGAGCUGCGGUUGUCCCUUUCGCACUUUAGCUCGCUUGGUCGGGCACAGCGCGAUGGCAAUAGUUUCUUCAAAUACCUAUUUUUCAAAUUCCUUGGGGCUAGAGUCCCCUCUUAAAUAUUAUCCAACAGAUCUUGUCGGUAAAAUUUAAGAUUCGGUUUCAAGGAAAAACCGAUAAUUCGGGGCUGACAGUACUAUAUUAUUAUCGAUUAAAAGUAGAUCGAUGUCUGUACAUACAAAACUAUUAUUUGGCUAUAUUUUUUCAUACACAUGCAUUUCUAGGUUUUUAUGUGUAUCCUACUAACAUACCAUGCAAUUUAAUGAAAAGAAGUGCUAUUUUCAGGAACAUUACCAAAAUUCAAAUAUUUUAGGUAAAGUGGAACGUGGGAAAUGGAAACGUGGUAUUUUAUAACUUUUUCAAUUUGUGAAAUGCUUUAUUUGCAAAUAUUCAAUUUAGUAGUGUAAUGGAUAUUCCAAAAUUCCCUAAAGCUGUGGCCACACCAAUGAAAAUUUGCUUCAUGUUUUGCAAUAACAAUGAGUGUGUUCAAUAACAAUAACAUUUUCGUCUUUACGUGAAAAAUGUCGAAAAUAUUAAUGAUGCAGCAUUCAGCACACAACGCAAAUUUUUAUUGUUAUGGACUUGGCUUAAAGGUUUGAUGAGCUUUGGUAACAUUUCUGUGAUAAAAAAGGCCCUUUCCAUCUUACACAAGUCUCCCCCAAAUUGUACAACCCAAUUAAACUAUAGUAUUCCAUAGCACAUAAACCCAAGCAAAUCGUAUCAUGCAGAGGCGGGUAGAGGUGGUGGGAGUACUAAUUACUGAAGCAAUUCUACCCAAUGCAAAAAAAAAACUGGAAAAUACAAAAUAAAAACAAAAUAGCAUAGUGCCUUAUUAAAAAAAUAGAUAGAUACAUAAUGCAUUUUAUAAAUAUUAGAGAUAGAGAAACUGCUAAAUCUUUAUUGUGAGUUACUUCACUAGAUUCUAUUAUGUUUAUUUUGAUUUUUUGUUUACUUAUAUUAACUUAAAUUACUAUGUUGAUUAGCAAGUUCUACAUUUUCUAUCUUCUAAUUUUGACUGUUCAAAAACUGAGUAAUAUACGAUUCUGGGUUUUCU